rnacentral:rRNA from 1 species
UACGGAGGGAGCUAGCGUUGUUCGGAAUUACUGGGCGUAAAGCGCACGUAGGUGGUUUGUUAAGCUAGCUGUGAAAUCCCCGGGCUCAACCUGGGCACUGCAGUUAGAACUGGCGAGCUAGAGUACGGUAGAGGGUGGUGGAAUUUCCUGUGUAGCGGUGAAAUGCGUAGAUAUAGGAAGGAACACCAGUGGCGAAAGCGGCCUCCUGAACCAAUACUGACGCUCAUGUGCGAAAGCGUGGGGAGCAAACAGG